UUUACAGGUUUUCAAUGCACUCUCUCUGACCUCAUAUAUUUUUGAGUAAUCCAAGAAAAAAAGUGCAAUACUGAAUUGUUCUAUACACUUUUUUUCUUGGAUUACUCAAAAAUAUAUGAGGUCAGAGAGAGUGCAUUGAAAAUCUGUAAA
rnacentral:miRNA from 1 species